rnacentral:rRNA from 1 species
CGCGGCCUAUCAGCUUGUUGGUGGGGUAACGGCCCACCAAGGCAUCGACGGGUAGCUGGUCUGAGAGGACGAUCAGCCACACUGGGACUGAGACACGGCCCAGACUCCUACGGGAGGCAGCGGUGGGGAAUAUUGCGCAAUGGGCGGAAGCCUGACGCAGCAACGCCGCGUGGGGGAUGAAGGCCUUCGGGUUGUAAACCCCUUUCAGCAGGAACGAAAAUGACGGUACCUGCAGAAGAAGCCCCGGCCAACUACGUGCCAGCAGCCGCGGUAACACGUAGGGGGCAAGCGUUGUCCGGAUUUAUUGGGCGUAAAGAGCUCGUAGGCGGUUGCGUAAGUCGGAUGUGAAAACUCAGGGCUCAACCCGGAGACGCCAUCCGAUACUGCGCUGACUAGAGUCCGGUAGAGGAGCAUGGAAUUCCUGGUGUAGCGGUGAAAUGCGCAGAUAUCAGGAGGAACACCAGUGGCGAAGGCGGUGCUCUGGGCCGGUACUGACGCUGAGGAGCGAAAGCGUGGGUAGCGAACAGGAUUAGAUACCCUGGUAGUCCACGCCGUAAACGUUGGGCACUAGGUGUGGGGCCUCCUUAACGGGUUCCGUGCCGUAGCUAACGCAUUAAGUGCCCCGCCUGGGGAGUACGG